rnacentral:rRNA from 1 species
GUAUUAGUUAUGUUCUUGAAACCCAAAGGAUUUGGCGGCAUUUUAUUCCUUUCAGAGGAACCUGUCCCUUAAUUGACAAUCCACGAUUGUAAUGUACUUUAACUUUGUCUUUCAGCUUGUAUACCUCCGUCAUCAGAAUAUCUUUUUAGAGUUCAUUUUCUUUUUAUUAUAUAAAAUAAUAUGUCAGGUCAAGGUGCAGCUUAUAGUAAAGUGUUGAGAUGGGUUACAUUAAUUUUUAGUUAAAUGGAUUUUGAUGAUUGUUUAUCAAAUGAAGGUGGAUUUGAUAGUAAUUUCUAUUCUUAGUAGAUCUGGUUUUGGCUCUAAAGUGUGCACACAUCGCCCG